UUUUAUGGCGGUUUGCUUAAAGGGAGAGAGAGCCAUAAUCUGUAUUUAAGAUUAAAAGAAGCCUUUAAUCCACAUGCUCAGCAUUAAACAAGGGAGUGGAGUCAUGUUUUGAUCAAAAGUUACUGCGGGCAUAAAAGAAAGCAAUGUAAAUGUUCUUUUAGGAAUUAAAAAUAAAAAAGGCUCCAGUAAAUUAUAUUGAGGAAGUGUUCGUAACCAUUUGCUUUGGGGAAAAAAAAAUGAAAAGGAAAAACAUCUGAUUUUCAUUUUGGACAAGAAUACUUAGCUCAAAUAAAAUACAAGGGAAUAGGGUUUUAUUUGAUUUGUAUAAUAUCACUAAAAAUAAGGGAGCUGCCAUUCAGGCUUCCUUGUACCAGUAAUCAUUCUCCUACUGAAUCUAUUUUUUACCCUCACUUUCCUAGGCCGGGUCUGCAUCUUUGGGAGGUGUAAUUAC
rnacentral:lncRNA from 1 species